rnacentral:rRNA from 1 species
UGCGAUAGGGGGACUCCGAGUGCGAGGGCAUAUAGUCCUCGCUUUUGUGCACCGUAAGGUGGUACAGGAACAAGAACUGGGCAAGACCGGUGCCAGCCGCCGCGGUAAUACCGGCAGUUCGAGUGAUGGCCGAUAUUAUUGGGCCUAAAGCGUUCGUAGCUGGCCAGUCAAGUCCGUCGGGAAAUCCACUCGCUCAACGAGCAGGCGUCCGGCGGAAACUGAUUGGCUUGGGACCGGAAGACCUGAAGGGUACGUCCGGGGUAGGAGUGAAAUCCUGUAAUCCUGGACGGACCACCGAUGGCGAAAGCACUUCAGGAGCACGGAUCCGACAGUGAGGGACGAAAGCCGGGGUCUCGAACCGGAUUAGAUACCCGGG